rnacentral:rRNA from 1 species
UGGGGAAUUUUGGACAAUGGGCGCAAGCCUGAUCCAGCAAUGCCGCGUGCAGGAUGAAGGCCUUCGGGUUGUAAACUGCUUUUGUACGGAACGAAAAGGCUCCUUCUAAUAAAGGGGGUCCAUGACGGUACCGUAAGAAUAAGCACCGGCUAACUACGUGCCAGCAGCCGCGGUAAUACGUAGGGUGCGAGCGUUACUCGGAAUUACUGGGCGUAAAGCGUGCGUAGGUGGUUGUUUAAGUCUGCUGUGAAAGCCCUGGGCUCAACCUGGGAAUUGCGUUUGUGACUGCAUAACUAGAGUACGGCAGAGGGAGGUGGAAUUCCGCGUGUAGCAGUGAAAUGCGUAGAUAUGCGGAGGAACACCGAUGGCGAAGGCAGCCUCCUGGGCCAGUACUGACGCUCAUGCACGAAAGCGUGGGGAGCAAACA